UACGUAGGUGACCAGCGUUGUCCGGAUUUACUGGGCGUAAAGAGCGCGCAGGCGGUCGUUCAAGUCGAGUGUGAAAGCCCCCGGCUCAACUGGGGAGGGUCACUUGAUACUGAUCGACUCGAAGGCAGGAGAGGGAAGCGGAAUUCCCGGUGUAGCGGUGAAAUGCGCAGAUAUCGGGAGGAACACCAGUAGCGAAGGCGGCACUCUGGGCCGGUACUGACGCUGAGGAGCGAAAGCGUGGGGAGCGAACAGG
rnacentral:rRNA from 1 species